rnacentral:lncRNA from 1 species
GGCGCAUGCAGGCGCGCGGGCGCAGGAGGGCGCGCGGUCGCAGGAGGGCGCGCGGGCGCGCGCGGCGCGUUGGGACGCAGGAGGGCGCGCGGGCGCAGGAGGGCGCGCGGGCAUGCGGGCGCGUGCGGGUCGCGAAGCGGGUCAAAACCGGGUUUUCGGGUCUGUGACCUUCUUUUCUUCAUUUUUUUCAAUUCUCUCACCCGGUUGAACCAAUUACAGCCUAGCUUCAACUCUAAUGACUUUUUUUAUUUUUUAAAAAAUUACAAACACUUUGCAACAAUAAAAAU